rnacentral:rRNA from 1 species
UUUAUUGGAAACUGGAAUGAAUGGCUAGACGAGAGAAAUAGUGUCUCAAUGAAAAUUAAUGAAUUUUAUUUUUAAGUGAAAAAGCUUAAAUAAUUUUAAAAGACGAGAAGACCCUAUAGAGUUUAACAUUAAAUUUAUAAUAAAUAAUUAGUAUUUUUUGUUAUUAUAAAUAUUUUUGUUUAGCUGGGGUGGCUUUAAAAUUGAUUUAACUUUUAUUUAUAUAAACACUUAUUUGUGAUUAUUUGAUCCAUAUUUUUGAUUAUAAGAUUUAAUUACCUUAGGGAUAACAG